AAAGAUGACCCGUGUAUGAAGAACUCACCACGACCACCUCACAAACUACUUCCUGGAUGCUUUCCUGGCUUGUGGCUUCCUUGGCAGCCUGUAAAAAAAAAAGGAAAAAAAAGGAGGUUUGUGGAUAAAAAAUGGUAAUAAAAUUAGAAUUUGAACAUCUUCUUAAUCUUGACUCAAAUGGGAAUGAAACUAGAUUUUUUGAACGGAUUCUGGCCUCCUCUUCAACUCGCUGGUUGGGGACUUUUGCAUGAGCACGCUUGUAGUACACCACAUAGUACACCACAUAGUACACUGUAUAGUAUACAGUAUAGGGCUUGAUUUACUAAGACAGUAUCAGUGUGUGCAAUCUAAAAAAUAGCGUGUACUGUUAGUGGUUGUGUGAUCUACUAAGACUGCGUGUGCAAUUGAAAAGUGGUGCAGAUUGCCUCAUUUAAAUGAUGGUAUUGCGUGUACUAUACGGGGCAUCACCAGGUAUUGCGUGUACUAUACGGGGCAUCACCAGGUUUUGCGUGUACUAUACGGGGCAUCACCAGGUAUUGCCUGUACUAUACGGGGCAUCACCAGGUUUUGCGUGUACUAUACGGGGC